UGAUCUUAGGAAAAUUCGCUUUGUUUUCAAAAGCAGUAGAGAAAACAAUUCUUAAAAUAACCCAAAUUAAUAAAUUAAAUUUUGGUUUAUAAAGGUGUUGAAAAAUUUGGUUUAAACCCUUUUGAAUAAAACAAAAAAAAGAGAAAAAAAAAGAAAGGAAAAGGGCAAGCGCCCUGGGCCGGCCUCCCCCCCCUCCGCGCCUCUCGGCCCAGCUGCGCAGUUCGCGGCCUAGCAGCCUCCCCCGGCCCAGCUCGCCCCGCACGCCCCCUCCUGCACCCGCCUUCACCCGCUGACCGGUGGGCCCCGCGAGUGGGCGCCACCAGUCAUCCCCAACCUCCGGCCGAAACGGAUUCGGCGCAACGGCCGGCUCCGACUUCCGUGCCGCGCGCGGAUCGAGGAUCCCCGGUCCGUCCCCGCCUAUUUAAAGGCCGCCGCAUCCGUCCGCGCCCCCCCUAAACCCUAGCCGCAAUUCCGAGCCGCAGAGACGCCUCCGAAGCUCGCAGCGCCGCCGCCGAAGUCGCCGAGCUCCAUUGCUGUCGUCGGCUUCUCGCUCCGCCACCUCUCUCGCCGAGGUAAGACACGCCCGAGUUUCGCCUCCUCGCGACGAACACGUAGACGGCCUCAACACGCUCCCUCUCCCCCUCCUUCCUCGUGUCCAC
rnacentral:lncRNA from 1 species